UACGUAGGGACCAAGCGUUGUCCGGAUUUAUUGGGCGUAAAGAGCGUGUAGGCGGCCAGGGAGGUCCGUUGUGAAAACUCGAGGCUCAACCUCGAGACGCCGAUGGAAACCCCCUGGCUAGAGUCCGGAAGAGGAGAGUGGAAUUCCUGGUGUAGCGGUGAAAUGCGCAGAUAUCAGGAAGAACACCCGUGGCUAAGGCGGCUCUCUAGUACGGUACUGACGCUGAGACGCGAAAGCGUGGGGAGCGAACAGG
rnacentral:rRNA from 1 species